GUAACAAGGUCUCCGUUGGUGAACCAGCGGAGGGAUCAUUACCGAGUUUUCAACUCCCUAACCCUUCUGUGAACCUACCUAUCGUUGCUUCGGCGGACUCGCCCCAGCCCGGACGCGGACUGGACCAGCGGCCCGCCGGGGACCUCAAACUCUUGUAUUUCAGCAUCUUCUGAAUACGCCGCAAGGCAAAACAAAUGAAUCAAAACUUUCAACAACGGAUCUCUUGGCUCUGGCAUCGAUGAAGAACGCAGCGAAAUGCGAUAAGUAAUGUGAAUUGCAGAAUCCAGUGAAUCAUCGAAUCUUUGAACGCACAUUGCGCCCGCCAGCAUUCUGGCGGGCAUGCCUGUUCGAGCGUCAUUUCAACCCUCGACCUCCCCUUGGGGAGGUCGGCGUUGGGGACCGGCAGCACACCGCCGGCCCUGAAAUGGAGUGGCGGCCCGUCCGCGGCGACCUCUGCGYAGUAAUACAGCUCGCACCGGAACCCCGACGCGGCCACGCCGUAAAACACCCAACUUCUGAACGUUGACCUCGAAUCAGGUAGGACUACCCGCUGAACUUAAGCAUAUCAA
rnacentral:rRNA from 1 species